rnacentral:rRNA from 1 species
GGAGGAUCCGAGCGUUAUCCGGAUUUAUUGGGUUUAAAGGGAGCGUAGAUGGAUGUUUAAGUCAGUUGUGAAAGUUUGCGGCUCAACCGUAAAAUUGCAGUUGAUACUGGAUGUCUUGAGUGCAGUUGAGGCAGGCGGAAUUCGUGGUGUAGCGGUGAAAUGCUUAGAUAUCACGAAGAACUCCGAUUGCGAAGGCAGCCUGCUAAGCUGCAACUGACAUUGAGGCUCGAAAGUGUGGGUAUCAAACAGGAUUAGAUACCCUGGUAGUCCACACGGUAAACGAUGAAUACUCGCUGUUUGCGAUAUACUGCAAGCGGCCAAGCGAAAGCGUUAAGUAUUCCACCUGGGAGU